AUACGUAGGGGGCGAGCGUUGUCCGAAUUUACUGGGCGUAAAGCGCGUGUAGGCGGCUUUUUAAGUGAGAUGUGAAAUCCCGUGGCUCAACCACGGAACUGCAUUUCAAACUGGAAGGCUUGAGUAUGGGAGAGGAAAGUGGAAUUCCUGGUGUAGCGGUGAAAUGCGUAGAUAUCAGGAGGAACACCCGUGGCGAAGGCGGCUUUCUGGCCCAUCACUGACGCUGAGACGCGAAAGCUAGGGUAGCGAACGGGAUUAGAUACCCCGGUAGUCCUAGCCGUAAACCAUGGAUACUAGGUGUUAGUGGUAUCGACCCCACUAGUGCCGGAGCUAACGCAUUAAGUAUCCCGCCUGGGGAGUACGGCCGCAAGGUUGAA
rnacentral:rRNA from 1 species